rnacentral:lncRNA from 1 species
AUAGUCGGUUGGAAGAAGGUCGGCAGACCAACCUCCCCACAACCCAAGGGAGGGAGCUAGCUGUCUUAGCCACCCUGACAACCCACCUUGGCACAGGCGAAGGUGAUCGCCUACUCCGAUCUUGGGGAGAGAUUCGACACCCGGCCAUCUCUCCCCUCGUCACUGCCCGCCUGGGAAGAUGAUUUGAAAAGGAGGAUCCAAGAGAUGCAACAAAGAAUCGAUACGCUGCAAGUCCCACAGUGAUUGGAUGAUGAUCUAGGUUUCAAUGCCAACCUACCAUUCACCCAAAGGAUCAUGAAUGAGCCCCUACCACCUCGGUUUAAGAUGCCCC